rnacentral:rRNA from 1 species
AUUGAACGCUGGCGGCAUGCCUUACACAUGCAAGUCGAACGGUAACAGGUCUUCGGAUGCUGACGAGUGGCGAACGGGUGAGUAGUACAUCGGAACGUGCCUAGUAGUGGGGGAUAACUACUCGAAAGAGUGGCUAAUACCGCAUGAGAUCUACGGAUGAAAGCAGGGGAUCGCAAGACCUUGUGCUACGAGAGCGGCCGAUGGAAGAUUAGGUAGUUGGUGGGAUAAAAGCUUACCAAGCCGACGAUCUGUAGCUGGUCUGAGAGGACGAUCAGCCACACUGGGACUGAGACACGGCCCAGACUCCUACGGGAGGCAGCAGUGGGGAAUUUUGGACAAUGGGCGCAAGCCUGAUCCAGCAAUGCCGCGUGCAGGAUGAAGGCCUUCGGGUUGUAAACUGCUUUUGUACGGAACGAAAAGCCCUGGGUUAAUACCCUGGGGUCAUGACGGUACCGUAAGAAUAAGCACCGGCUAACUACGUGCCAGCCGCCGCCGUAACAC